rnacentral:rRNA from 1 species
AUUGAACGCUGGCGGCAGGCCUAACACAUGCAAGUCGAGCGGAUGAACGGAGCUUGCUCCUGGAUUCCGCUGCGGACGGGUGAGUAAUGCCUAGGAAUCUGCCUGGUAGUGGGGGAUAACGUCCGGAAACGGGCGCUAAUACCGCAUACGUCCUGAGGGAGAAAGUGGGGGAUCUUCGGACCUCACGCUAUCAGAUGAGCCUAGGUCGGAUUAGCUAGUUGGUGGGGUAAAGGCCUACCAAGGCGACGAUCCGUAACUGGUCUGAGAGGAUGAUCAGUCACACUGGAACUGAGACACGGUCCAGACUCCUACGGGAGGCAGCAGUGGGGAAUAUUGGACAAUGGGCGAAAGCCUGACCCAGCAAUGCCGCGUGUGUGAAGAAGGUCUUCGGAUUGUAAAGCACUUUAAGUUGGGAGGAAGGGCAGUAUGUUAAUCCCUUGCUGUUUUGACGUUACCAACAGAGUAAGCACCGGCUAACUUCGUG